rnacentral:rRNA from 1 species
AGAGUUUGAUCCUGGCUCAGGAUAAACGCUGGCGGCGUGCCUAACACAUGCAAGUCGAACGCCCUUGCUUCGGCGAGGGAGUGGCGGACGGGUGAGGAACACGUGGGUGAUCUACCUUGAGGUGAGGAAUACCGGCGAGAAAUCGCCGACAAGACCGCAUAGGCCUGGGGAACCAGGCAAAGUCGCAAGACGCCCCAAGA